GAUGAACGCUGGCGGCGUGCCUAAUACAUGCAAGUCGAGCGAACAGACGAGGAGCUUGCUCCUCUGACGUUAGCGGCGGACGGGUGAGUAACACGUGGAUAACCUACCUAUAAGACUGGGAUAACUUCGGGAAACCGGAGCUAAUACCGGAUAAUAUAUUGAACCGCAUGGUUCAAUAGUGAAAGACGGUUUUGCUGUCACUUAUAGAUGGAUCCGCGCCGCAUUAGCUAGUUGGUAAGGUAACGGCUUACCAAGGCAACGAUGCGUAGCCGACCUGAGAGGGUGAUCGGCCACACUGGAACUGAGACACGGUCCAGACUCCUACGGGAGGCAGCAGUAGGGAAUCUUCCACAAUGGGCGAAAGCCUGACGGAGCAACGCCGCGUGAGUGAUGAAGGUCUUCGGAUCGUAAAACUCUGUUAUUAGGGAAGAACAAAUGUGUAAGUAACUAUGCACGUCUUGACGGUACCGGAUCAGAAAGCCACGGCUAACUACGUG
rnacentral:rRNA from 1 species